UUUAGCUCGCUAGAGAAAGUAAAGUGGCGCACGGGUGAGUAACGCGUGGGUAAUCUGCCUCCGAAUCGGGGAUAACAUUGCGAAAGCGAUGCUAAUACCGGAUAAAAUCUGGUUGGCUUCGGUGAACCGGAUCAAAGGUGGUCUCUUUAUAAAAGCUACCGUUUGGAGAUGAGCUCGCGUACCAUUAGCUAGUUGGUGAGGUAAAGGCUCACCAAGGCGACGAUGGUUAGCUGGUCUGAGAGGAUGAUCAGCCACACCGGAACUGGAACACGGUCCGGACUCCUACGGGAGGCAGCAGUGAGGAAUUUUGCGCAAUGGGGGAAACCCUGACGCAGCAACGCCGCGUGAGUGAUGAAGGCUUUCGGGUCGUAAAGCUCUGUCAGGUGGGAAGAACCCACCAAGUGUUAAGACCACUUGGUGCUGACGGUACCACCGAAGGAAGCACCGGCUAACUCCGUGCCAGCAGCCGCGGUAAUACGGGGGGUGCGAGCGUUAUUCGGAAUCAUUGGGCGUAAAGGGCGCGCAGGCGGUUUUGUAAGUCAGAUGUGAAAUCCCGGGGCUUAACCCCGGAAGUGCAUAUGAAACUAUGAGACUUGAGUAUGGGAGAGGGAAGCGGAAUUCCUGGUGUAGCGGUGAAAUGCGUAGAUUUCAGGAGGAACACCGGUGGCGAAGGCGGCUUCCUGGACCAUUACUGACGCUGAGGCGCGAACGCGUGGGGAGCGAACAGGAUUAGAUACCCUGGU
rnacentral:rRNA from 1 species